rnacentral:rRNA from 1 species
GCACACAGAAGAACUUGGUUUCUCGGGUGGCGAGCGGCGGACGGGUGAGUAAUGCCUGGGAAAUUGCCCUGAUGUGGGGGAUAACCAUUGGAAACGAUGGCUAAUACCGCAUGAUNCCUNCGGCUCAAAGAGGGGGACCUUCGGGCCUCUCGCGUCAGGAUAUGCCCAGGUGGGAUUAGCUAGUUGGUGAGGUAAGGGCUCACCAAGGCGACGAUCCCUAGCUGGUCUGAGAGGAUGAUCAGCCACACUGGAACUGAGACACGGUCCAGACUCCUACGGGAGGCAGCAGUGGUCUGC